rnacentral:rRNA from 1 species
AACGAACGCUGGCGGCAUGCCUAACACAUGCAAGUCGAACGGGAUCCUGGUUUCGGCCAGGUGAGAGUGGCGGACGGGUGAGUAACGCGUGGGAACCUGCCCAGUGGUGGGGGAUAACUGCGGGAAACUGCAGCUAAUACCGCAUGAGCCCGAAAGGGGAAAGAUUGAUCGCCAUUGGAGGGGCCCGCGGCCUAUCAGCUAGUUGGCGGGGUAACGGCCCACCAAGGCGACGACGGGUAGCUGGUCUGAGAGGACGACCAGCCACACGGGGACUGAGACACGGCCCCGACUCCUACGGGAGGCAGCAGUGGGAAUUUCCGCAAUGGGCGAAAGCCUGACGGAGUGACGCCGCGUGUGGGAUGAAGGCC